rnacentral:pre_miRNA from 1 species
CAAGGAGCUUGUUUAAAGCUGAGUGAUUUAAAGCAAUCAGAUUCCUUCAGCUUUAAAUCAUGCAGCUGUUGAAUAAGCUCUUCC